AUAUAUGUAACCUAAUUAUACUGGCCCUUCUAAAAACAUCUGUUUCAGUUUAAUGUACAUGCUUUAAUUCCAGAACAUUCUGAGCAGUGUCACCACUACCGCCAAGCAAACACAAGGCAGCAUUGCCCUCCUUCAGAAAGACCUCCUUGGCUAUUUCCUUGAUGAUGUCGCAUUGGUGCAGCUUCUUCACAUGAUUGGGAUCCAUUUUCUUCACCUUCACUGGAGCUCCAACAAGAAACACCUGGAAUCCUGCCAAACCCUCCUCCCUCUCAUCACCUUGCUGCUUCAGCAACGUCCCUCAGUACCCAGUUCCAUUCUGUCAACACUACCUCCAGCUUAAGGAAGACUGACAACCAACCUAGGUGUCGUUUUCUUGAAUGAAGGGAACGGAGGCAUUUUAUACCCUGCCAUCAUUCCUUGACCUUCCACUUUUGUUUCACGUGUGCUUUCCUUUUGUUUUGGCCAGAAUUCAUCAGAGACCCAUGUGGUCUCUCCUCUUGCACAACAGUCACUCAUGGUCUUUUUUACCACCUGACCCUGAAGGUUAAUCUGUCAAGCGUGCUGUCCGGUGGAAAUGCCCAACCGAUGUUUGUCUUCCGGGGUUUCCGAGGCGGGACCGAAUCAAGCUCAACAUGUCAGCACGACGGUGUGUGGGGCCAGCUCACCCCCACCUGGGAGAGCCAACUGAGACCUUUUCCAACAUUUUGCAAACCAGUUAUGAAUGCGGCCACCAUUAACAAUCAAAUCAUAAAACCUUACAAUUAAAUAAUCU
rnacentral:lncRNA from 1 species